rnacentral:rRNA from 1 species
UNUGACUUGAGUGCAGAAGGGGAGAGUGGAAUUCCAUGUGUAGCGGUGAAGUGCGUAGAUAUAUGGAGGAACACCAGUGGCGAAAGCGGCUCUCUGGUCUGUCACUGACGCUGAGGCUCGAAAGCGUGGGUAGCGAACAGGAUUAGAUACCCUGGUAGUNCACGCCGUAAACGAUGAGUGCUAGGUGUUAGGCCCUUUCCGGGGCUUAGUGCCGGAGCUAACGCAAUAAGCACUCCGCCUGGGGAGUACGACCGCAAGGUUGAAACUCAAAGGUAUUGACGGGGGCCCGCACAAGCGGUGGAGCAUGUGGUUUAAUUCGAAGCAACGCGAAGAACCUUACCAGGUCUUGACAUCCCGAUGCUAUUCUUAGAGAUAGGAAGUUACUUCGGUACAUCGGAGACAGGUGGUGCAUGGUUGUCGUCAGCUCGUGUCGUGAGAUGUUGGGUUAAGUCCCGCAACGAGCGCAACCCUUAUUGUUAGUUGCCAUCAUUAAGUUGGGCACUCUAGCGAGACUGCCGGUAAUAAACCGGAGGAAGGUGGGGAUGACGUCAAAUCAUCAUGCCCCUUAUGACCUGGGCUACACACGUGCUACAAUGGUCGGUACAACGAGUUGCGAGCCGGUGACGGCAAGCUAAUCUCUGAAAGCCGAUCUCAGUUCGGAUUGGAGGCUGCAACUCGCCUCCAUGAAGUCGGAAUCGCUAGUAAUCGCGGAUCAGCACGCCGCGGUGAAUACGUUCCCGGGCCUUGUNCAC